UACGGAGGGUGCAAACGUUGCUCGGAAUCAUUGGGCGUAAAGCGCACGUAGGCGGCCUGAUAAGUCUUGUGUGAAAUCUCUGGGCUCAACCCAGAGUCUGCAUAGGAAACUGUCGGGCUUGAGUAUGGGAGAGGUGCGUGGAAUUUCCGGUGUAGCGGUGAAAUGCGUAGAUAUCGGAAGGAACACCUGUGGCGAAAGCGGCGCACUGGACCAAAACUGACGCUGAGGCGCGAAAGCUAGGGGAGCAAACAGG
rnacentral:rRNA from 1 species